CAGAAGACCUGGGUUUGAUCCCUGGGUUGGGAAGACCCGCUGGAGAAGGGAAUGGCUAUCCACUCCAGUAUUCUCUCCUGGAGAAGCACCAGAGACGCAGACCCCACUCUGCUUAUAUUCCAAGGACCCACCCUCUGGAUAAUUUUUCUCUUAAAACGAUGUUGUGAAUUUCCUGGCAGUCCAUUGGUUAGUACUCCACGCUCUCCCUUACAAAGACUCCAGUUGAUCCCUGGUGGGGGAAGUAAGAUUCCCAAUGCCGCUGUGGCCUAAAAUAAAUAAAUAAAUAACACUCCAUGUUUAGGAAGCUUUUGUAGGUCACACUAGUGCUGUGUAUUAAGUGGCCCUUCAUGGCCCCUAUUACCACACUCAGUUGACACAACUGCAGCCCAAAAGGGAGAAAGAGAUUUUUUUGUGCACCUCCCCAUGUCAGGGGAGUGACCUCUUUCAAUCUUCCCAACCACUGUGGGGAGUGGGUGGAGCUUUCCAUUUCACAGAGGAGGUAACUGAGGCUCAGAAGCUAAGCUACUUGGCCUCAGGAGGUUAAAACUAAGAUUUGAACCCUCGUAUAUCUCACUCCACAACCUUUGCCACCACCCUCCCCCCGCAUAUACCCAAAGAAAACAAACAAAAAAUUUGGCUUUUUACUUGAUCUCAGAGUCUUCAUUACAGACAAGGGUGUGGUUUUUACUCUUUUCUGUUAAGUGUUUGGAAAAUUGAAAGCAACGCAGCACCUCGGGUAGCUGCCUGACCUCGUCCCGGUGGAAGGGAUCCUCACACCCCUAAAGCGUCCAUCCUCUCCCCAGCCACAGCAGUCCAUAGACGCCCCCGUCCGUCUCCUCCAGCCCCUCCCUCCGGCCGCCCACCCCCUCGCUCAGCCCCCCUUCCACCCCUCCCAGGCCUCCAGACCCGCUGUCCCUGCUCAGACCCCAGGUCCCUGGCGGGAGUUUCCUGUCCCCAGCGCCCGUACUUUCCAUGACACAAGAGGAAGUCGGCUGAGCAGGGGCUGGGUUUUCCAGGCCGCCCGGCCCUGGGUGGAGGCCGAAGGUGGGGGUGAGGAGGGGGUUAUCACCCCCCAACCCCCACCCCAGGGCCGUGUCAGUACCUCGUCGGCCUCCGCGGGAGAAGCGCCUGCCUGCGCUGCCCGGGCCCACACCAGCACUGGCACACAGCUCUUUAUUGAAUGAAUGAAUGAAUGACAGGGAGGCUUUGAGCAUGGGCACAGGAAAGAGACUGACCAGCACACCAUUUCCUACCUCCAAGCACUGAGUUUCCAAUCUAGUUGGGGAGACCAUCCAACAGGCAGCCGGGACUAUGCAUGAGCCUAAUCUCUGGGAAAGUCAAGGAAGGCUUCCUGGAGGGAAUGACAUCCAAGCUGACACCUGAAGAAUGAGCAGGAGUUUGCUGCUUUGGUGGUGAGAUUGGUUUUCCACGCUGAGGGGAAAGGCUUCCGGGUCCUUUUAGCACAAUAACCAUGUUACUACAGGUGAGAAGGGUCUAGAAGUUGGGGGAGUUGGGUGUCAGUCCUGACUCAGCCUUUUAUAGGCUCUGUGUCUGGGGAUGUCUCCCCCUACCCCAAGAUGGUCCCUUAGAUUCCUCAGUCUGGAUUGGGAUGUUAUUUAAAGAAUACCAUCGAAAACAACCUGAAAAAUCAAUAUAGCCUUUAUUUGAAGGAUAAAAUGGCAAAAGUCACAUUAAAAAAAAAAAAUGCUCUUACACAGUGUUAUUUUUAGAGAGCUCUCAUGUGUUCCUCAGUGUGCAAAUCAAUAAAUGCAAGGGUAUUAGGCCA
ensembl:lncRNA